GAUGAACGCUGGCGGCGUGCCUAAUACAUGCAAGUCGAGCGAACAGACGAGGAGCUUGCUCCUCUGACGUUAGCGGCGGACGGGUGAGUAACACGUGGAUAACCUACCUAUAAGACUGGGAUAACUUCGGGAAACCGGAGCUAAUACCGGAUAAUAUAUUGAACCGCAUGGUUCAAUAGUGAAAGACGGUUUUGCUGUCACUUAUAGAUGGGUCCGCGCCGCAUUAGCUAGUUGGUAAGGUAACGGCUUACCAAGGCAACGAUGCGUAGCCGACCUGAGAGGGUGAUCGGCCACACUGGAACUGAGACACGGUCCAGACUCCUACGGGAGGCAGCAGUAGGGAAUCUUCCGCAAUGGGUGAAAGCCUGACGGAGCAACGCCGCGUGAGUGAUGAAGGUCUUCGGAUCGUAAAACUCUGUUAUUAGGGAAGAACAAAUGUGUAAGUAACUAUGCACGUCUUGACGGUACCUAAUCAGAAAGCCACGGCUAACUACGUG
rnacentral:rRNA from 1 species